rnacentral:rRNA from 1 species
GAAGAGUGCGAACGUUAUCUGGAUAUUACUGGGCGUAAAAGGCGUACUAGAGCGCGAUUAUCAGUCAGAUGUGAAAUCCCCGGCUCAACCGGGGACCUGCAUUUGAUACUACUGGUCUUGAGUACGGAAGAAGAAAACGGAAUUUUGGUGGAACGGUGAAAUGCGUAGAUAUCAGGAAGAACACCGGUGGCGAAGGCGGCUUUCUGGUUCCAAACUGACGGUAAAGCGCGAAAGUGUGGGGAGCCAACCGGAUUAGAUACCCUGGUAGUUCCCCCCGUAAACGAUGGAUACUAGGUGUCGGGGGUAUCGACCCCCCCGGUGCCGCAGCUAACGCAUUAAGUAUUCCGCCUGGGGAGUACGGUCGCAAGGCUG